GAGAAAGCCAACUUGGUGGUUAGCCUGCCCGCGGAGCCUUACUUCCCAGUGAGAUAGGGUGGGGUCGGAGCCAGAGGACCCCAGUCCUGGACCCGGAUGUCAAUUAAUGAAUUAAACCAGCUAACCCAUCAGUCAUGCUACUGAUGCUCCUGAUCAGAAAACACAUCAACCGAUAUGUCCCCUGCAGUCCAGGAGCAUAUCAUUUCAGACUAACAACAUGGCGUACACAGCACAGAAGGACGUGAGCAACAUACCCAAGGAGCUGGCAGCCAUGGCGGGAUAAAGACAUGGGCUUUGGUCCAGGAGGAAGAGGAAAAGGAACUGUGUGGACAGCAAAAGCUGCCAGGUAUAGAAGCACAAGGUGAAAAUCCAUACCUUAUAUCCACUUUGGUCAAUUUUAUAUGGAGAAAAUGACCACGCCAGUGUUUUUCACACUUUUGAUUACCAGAUAGGUUUACCUGGCUGGCUUGGCCAAUAAAGAUAUUAACCAUGAAGGGGACUGAACCCAAAAUGACAUGACCUUCAUCGUUGAAAGACUUUGGGGGAGAAGACAGCUUUGGGGAUCUCAUCCACUAUGGGUGGGGAGGCUGAUGCAUUGAGGGAGAUAUUCUGGGUGUGUGGUCUACAAUGCGGGAGAGAGCUCAGCUGCUGUGGCCCUACCCUGGAGAAGCAAGUGGCGUCUAAUAAGCUGGGGGCUUUGUGGGCAAUCUUGCUUUCCGUGGGUAAGCUUAAAGAAGAAUUAGGAUCUCCCAUGCUUUGAAGCCCAGGGCUGCUCAGCUCACACUACCUGGCCGUGAGCCCCUGAGGCCCAUUUGAUAGUGCUUCGAUGAUGAGAAAAAAAGGAGCCAGGCCCUGGAUGUCAUCUCUGCUGGAGACUAGUUUCCACCUUGCUCUGGACCCUUGGAUAUGCCACUUGACCUUCUUGUUUCUAUUUCCUUAUUAGCAAAAGAAAUGAGUUGGAUUAGAUGUUCUCUAGGAGCCCUUCCAAUUUUCCAAGUCUGUGAAUCAGGUACACUUUAAAAAAAAUACAUACUUCUUCAGUUGGGAAAACAAUGAGAAAUGUAGAAGCAAUGAGAAAGCCCUGAAAAGACAGAGAAUCUCUUGUUCCCAAUUUGUUCUGCUUUGUGAAUGGGGAGGGGACACCUUUGCAAACUAGUACUCGGGGAGAAAAGAGAGGCAGAAGACAUUUCCAGGAGGCUAAGGGUGGGGCAGAGGCCCUGUUGGACAGGGCUACUGUGGGCCCACAGGGGUGGGGGCAUCAGUGGUGGUCGUCCAUGUGCUCCUGUGAUCCUCCCGGGGGGGGGCACCCCCCCACCCCAUCUCCACUACACCUCUCAUCUGCACCUGCCCUCAGUGGUCUCUGUCCCUGACUGUGGCUUCAGGCAUGGUCUUGUGCUCUAGGGCUGCUUGCUUUUUGCCACCCAUACGAGAAAACUUCUUUUUUCAUGAUUAUCAAAGCAAUACACACCACUUCAGAAUAAGAGGAAGGUACCAAAAAGUAUUAAGCACAAAAACCAAAUUCAGUUAUAAUCUGAUCACCCAGAGCUAUUCACAUUUAAGUGUGUUUUCUUCUUCUUCUUCUUCUUCUUUU